UACGUAGGGGGCAAGCGUUGUCCGGAUUUAUUGGGCGUAAAGAGCGUGUAGGCGGCCAGGUAGGUCCGCUGUGAAAACUCGAGGCUCAACCUCGAGAUGUCGGCGGAAACCAUCUGGCUAGAGUCCGGAAGAGGAAAGUGGAAUUCCCGGUGUAGCGGUGAAAUGCGCAGAUAUCGGGAAGAACACCUAUGGCGAAGGCAGCUCUCUGGGACGGUACUGACGCUGAGACGCGAAAGCGUGGGGAGCGAACAGG
rnacentral:rRNA from 1 species